rnacentral:rRNA from 1 species
UACGAAGGGGGCUAGCGUUGUUCGGAAUUACUGGGCGUAAAGCGUGCGCAGGCGGCUUCUCAAGUCAGGGGUGAAAGCCCAGAGCUCAACUCUGGAAUUGCCUUUGAGACUGAGUGGCUUGAGUACGGGAGAGGUGAGUGGAAUUCCGAGUGUAGAGGUGAAAUUCGUAGAUAUUCGGAAGAACACCAGUGGCGAAGGCGACUCACUGGCCCGUUACUGACGCUGAGGCGCGAAAGCGUGGGGAGCAAACAGG